UAGGUCAGUGCUACUCAAAGUGGUGGUCCGCGGACCGGUGCCGCUCCACGAGCCAUCAGCUGGCGGUCUGCGCGCACAUUGGAAAAAAAUUGCCGGUCCCCCACAUCAGAUAGCUUGAGAAGCACUGCUCUAGGUGAUAGCAAGGGGUUGGACUACAUGACCUCCUGAGGUCCCUUCCAACCCUG